CCUUGUUGCCUGUUGCCUUGUAUUUUUGCAGAAUAGUCAGUCCCUCGAAUACAAGGAUAGCCAUGUUGCCUCGAUUAAAGAUCAUGGUCCCUAAUGAUGCUAUGGUCCCUAAUGAUGCUGCCUUCGAUACACUAAACAUGAUCUCGACCCUCGGAAGUUGCCUACGAAAAGGCUGAGGUAUCCCUUAGACUACCUGCCUCCCUAUGGCAUGGGACAGUCUUAUGGCAAACGAACUCUCGAUGACCCUUCAACCUCCAAAUGAAAGGCUUCCUGCCCUCUUAUGGCAAGGAUAGACCUUUUCACCCUGAAAGGCUAAAAGAACUUCUUUUUCAAACUAUAAGGGCACAUGCGAAGUUUUCGUUCUUGAAGAACCUUUAUGACGAUCACCUUGUUGUGGCAGCUGAUUCUGAGGCUAUGGGCGACGACUUCUUUGUUCAGUAUCACUGUUAGUGUGCUUUGAGGUGUUGCUUCAUGUACUUGGUUGGCACGUCCUUUUUCGUGGACAAAAUUCCUAACUACGUGGAUGUAACAUACUUCCGGUACUUCGUGGAUUUGGAUGCAAUGAGUGUAUGGAACUGGGGGUUAACUGUUUUGCAUAUUUAUACCAAAAGUUGAAUGGAGCCUUUAAUUGGAGGACGGGGAAUCUUACAGGCUCUUGCUUGCUGCUGACGGAUGAAUCAUUUCUCACUUCCACUGCAUUCAUGGAUAUGCUCUUGAUCUUGACUAUAUGGAGGUUAUGCCGAGAGCUGCCAUGUAUCUCCCCCGCAGAGGGAAUCAUGCCACUGAUGUCUUGUCGAUCUGUCAGCGGAUACACGCGAUUGAGCGUGAGGCUUUGGACUUAAGGAUCGUUAAGAAGGGCGGUCUUGAGGCGGUGACCAUCACGAAGAUGGUGGUUAGCGAGGCAACGAGUGCGGUGGGAUACAGGAGGCGGAGGAGGAGCCAAGAGGUGAGGAUUAGGCCGACGCAAUAAGCUAUGUUUUUUUUA